rnacentral:rRNA from 1 species
GUGGGGAAUAUUGGACAAUGGGCGAAAGCCUGAUCCAGCCAUGCCGCGUGUGUGAAGAAGGUCUUCGGAUUGUAAAGCACUUUAAGUUGGGAGGAAGAGCAGUAAGUUAAUACCUUGCUGUUUUGACGUUACCGACAGAAUAAGCACCGGCUAACUUCGUGCCAGCAGCCGCGGUAAUACGAAGGGUGCAAGCGUUAAUCGGAAUUACUGGGCGUAAAGCGCGCGUAGGUGGUUUUGUAAGUUGGAGGUGAAAUCCCCGGGCUCAACCUGGGAACUGCCUCCAAAACUGCAUGACUAGAGUACGGUAGAGGGUAGUGGAAUUUCCUGUGUAGCGGUGAAAUGCGUAGAUAUAGGAAGGAACACCAGUGGCGAAGGCGACUACCUGGACUGAUACUGACACUGAGGUGCGAAAGCGUGGGGAGCAAACAGGAUUAGAAACCCUGGUAGUCC